rnacentral:rRNA from 1 species
AUGGUGGCUUGUAGGCGGAUGUGUCUCACACCUAAGUUUUUGCCGCUGGACCGUGGUUACAUUCAUCCUAGCUUGGAGGCAACGGUGUGGGUGGGUAUGCAUGUGCAAGGCGAAGAAGUGGACGAAGGCCAAAGAAGCAAUCUCUGCCUCCCUAUCGCUGCGUCCUGCUCCUCAAUAUGUCACCUUAGUCAUGGCCGCCUUAUCCCUCAUGCUGCUGAUUUGAAUCUGCCCUACUCUUCUUCUCCUAGACUGCUCGAGCGCUUCAGCGGGUGCCUUGCCGACGACGGGGAAGGAAGGACCAGAAAGCCACGAAAUUGA